rnacentral:rRNA from 1 species
GAUGAACGCUGGCGGCGUGCCUAAUACAUGCGAGUCGAGCGAACAGACGAGGAGCUUGCUCCUCUGACGUUAGCGGCGGACGGGGGAGUAACACGUGGAUAACCUACCUAUAAGACUGGGAUAACUUCGGGAAACCGGAGCUAAUACCGGAUAAUAUAUUGAACCGCAUGGUUCAAUAGUGAAAGACGGUUUUGCUGUCACUUAUAGAUGGAUCCGCGCCGCAUUAGCUAGUUGGUAAGGUAACGGCUUACCAAGGCAACGAUGCGUAGCCGACCUGAGAGGGUGAUCGGCCACACUGGAACUGAGACACGGUCCAGACUCCUACGGGAGGCAGCAGUAGGGAAUCUUCCGCAAUGGGCGAAAGCCUGACGGAGCAACGCCGCGUGAGUGAUGAAGGUCUUCGGAUCGUAAAACUCUGUUAUUAGGGAAGAACAAAUGUGUAAGUAACUAUGCACGUCUUGACGGUACCUAAUCAGAAAGCCACGGCUAACUACGUG